rnacentral:rRNA from 1 species
UGGGGAAUCUUGCGCAAUGGGGGAAACCUUGACGCAGCAACGCCGCGUGGGUGAUGAAGGCCUUCGGGUCGUAAAGCCCUGUCAGGUGGGAAGAAACAUGUCGGUGCUAAUAUCACCGAUGUUUGACGGUACCGCCGGAGGAAGCACCGGCUAACUCCGUGCCAGCAGCCGCGGUAAUACGGAGGGUGCAAGCGUUGUUCGGAAUUACUGGGCGUAAAGCGCGUGUAGGCGGUCGGGCAAGUCAGAUGUGAAAGCCUUCCGCUCAACGGAAGAAGUGCAUUUGAAACUACCCGGCUGGAGUACGGGAGAGGAGAGUGGAAUUCCCGGUGUAGAGGUGAAAUUCGUAGAUAUCGGGAGGAACACCAGUGGCGAAGGCGGCUCUCUGGUCCGAUACUGACGCUGAGACGCGAAAGCGUGGGGAGCAAACAGGAUUAGAUACCCUGGUAGUCCACGCCGUAAACGAUGGGCACUAGGUGUAGGAGGUAUUGACCCCUGCGGUGCCGCAGCUAACGCACUAAGUGCUCCGCCUGGGGACUACGGCCGCAAGGUUA